rnacentral:rRNA from 1 species
UACGUAGGGUGCAAGCGUUAAUCGGAAUUACUGGGCGUAAAGCGUGCGCAGGCGGUUUUGCGAGACCGCUGUGAAAUCCCCGGGCUUAACCUGGGAAUGGCAUUGGUGACUGCACGGCUAGAGUGUGUCAGAGGGGGGUAGAAUUCCACGUGUAGCAGUGAAAUGCGUAGAGAUGUGGAGGAAUACCGAUGGCGAAGGCAGCCCCCUGGGAUAACACUGACGCUCAUGCACGAAAGCGUGGGGAGCAAACAGG